rnacentral:rRNA from 1 species
GUGGGGAAUAUUGGACAAUGGGCGCAAGCCUGAUCCAGCCAUGCCGCGUGAGUGAUGAAGGCCCUAGGGUUGUAAAGCUCUUUCACCGGUGAAGAUAAUGACGGUAACCGGAGAAGAAGCCCCGGCUAACUUCGUGCCAGCAGCCGCGGUAAUACGAAGGGGGCUAGCGUUGUUCGGAAUUACUGGGCGUAAAGCGCACGUAGGCGGGUAUUUAAGUCAGGGGUGAAAUCCCAGAGCUCAACUCUGGAACUGCCUUUGAUACUGGGUACCUAGAGUAUGGAAGAGGUAAGUGGAAUUCUGAGUGUAGAGGUGAAAUUCGUAGAUAGUCGGAGGAACACCAGUGGCGAAGGCGGCUUACUGGUCCAUUACUGACGCUGAGGUGCGAAAGCGUGGGGAGCAAACAGGAUUAGAAACCCUGGUAGUCC